AAUGGGCUGAUAUGGAAAACAUUUCCUCCAUUUUAGAAAGGAUAUCUCAGAAUUACACAGUAUAAAGGAAGGACGCAGAGAAGACCAACAUGAAGGGAAUAUAUUCACUCUGCUUGGAUAUAAGCUAUGAAAAUGAGUGAUUUUAUUAUUUUUUUUUAUAAAAAACUUUGGCAUCAGGAUAACUAGUAAAUGGGAAUGGAACACUGUUCACAUCCAACUUACAGACACCGGCUUGUCAGAAAAGAUUUCCAUUCAGUGUCAAGAUGAUCCUUGGGGAUAUAAUCGUGAGAUUGUAUACGAAACAGUUGGUUAUACCACCGGCUGCACCCCAGAUUUGAUGGGUUAUGCUAGAUACCUGUCAAGGCAAGGACUCAUUCAUGCAGAGAAUCUGCGAAAUGCUCAAACACCUUGUCCAAUGCUGCAUGUGAGAGUUGUUGUAGAGUCUCACAUCCAUGUUCACAAGCAGCACCCCAAAAAGAAGAGACCUGGGAGAAGAGGGAGGAAUGCUGGCCAUUAGAAGUCUAGUUUGGGAGUUAAUUGCGUUGCGUAAUCCAUUGGUACUAUUUAACUGGGAUCCUUUGUUGUGAUUAGAUCAAGAAAGAUGUAAAAUUGAGUUUACCCUGUUGAAAAGGCUCCAAGUAAUGGUCUUUACAAUGGUAUUAUAGGCUAUCAUCCUUGGUUGUUCAUGUUCAUUGUUUAUAAUUAAAAAUCAAAUAAAAAGCCUGAGAACUGUUCUAA